GAUGAAGAACGUAGCGAAAUGCGAUACUUGGUGUGAAUUGCAGAAUCCCGUGAACCAUCGAGUCUUUGAACGCAAGUUGCGCCCGAAGCCACUAGGCCGAGGGCACGCCUGCCUGGGCGUCACACGCCGUUGCCCCCCCAUCUACUCCUUCGGGAUUGCGGGGGGGCGGAUGAUGGCCUCCCGUGCGCCUAGCCUCGCGGUUGGCAUAAAUACCAAGUCCUCGGCGACGCACGCCACGACAAUCGGUGGUUGCGAAACCUCGGUUGCCCGUCGUGUGCGUUCGUCGCGCAUCGAGGGCUCGAAAAAAUGCUCGGCUCCGGCUGGGCUUUCAACGCGACCCCAGGUCAGGCGGGGUUACCCGCUGAAUUUAAGCAUAUCAAUAAGCGGAGGA
rnacentral:misc_RNA from 1 species